AAAAGCUAAAGAAAUUGAAAAAGAAGUUUAAAAGCUCGGUUGUCUUUGCAUGCAGUGAGCUCUGUACUAGUUCACCUUCAUCUUUGCUUGGGACAGAACUUUCCGAGGUUCUCGUAAGUUCUGUUCAAAAGUGAAGGAGUUCCGCGCCAGCCAUAGUUCCCAAAGGAGGUUUGUGUCUCUUAAGAUGUCACUGGCGAAUUGGGACUUGUUCCAAACCACCAUGGAGUCUGAAUAGAAAACCACCGCGUGGAAUGCUGUUUCUGACUUUGUCAAGCAUCUUAGGCAAAGGGAUCAAUGUUGGAGAUUUUGUUAUGCAUCUUCUCCAGCACUGCUAUAACCUCAUCGACUAAUCUCCAUAUGAAGUUUCGGAUUUUUGGCUGACACUAUAUAUUCUAUAUUUGUUGCCAUAAGUCUUUCAUCUGAAAUCGGGGGUUUAACCUCUGCCUCUCUAUUGGCGGAUGAUAGAACUGUAUCUGUUAUCAGCUACCAGACCCAAUGCAUCUCAAGAUUUUGUUCUGCUGCUAUUGGAAAUCUAAAAGGGGGUUGGUCUCCCAACCAUGGGUCCUCUCUUAUUCUGGUGGAGUCAUGGAUAGUGACACUGAAUCUAACGCCUUUUCCUAUGACUUUUCUGCCCUCCAAGAGACUCUGCCAAGCCUAAAAAGGUCUAAAUCUAGGCUUUGUUUCCAAGAACGAGGUAUAUCAAAAAUAUUUAUUUUUGUAGAUUUUAUAUACCAAUGAAUGUGUUUUGUUAGAAGUCUCCAUACCUGUUUAUCUAGCAUCGAAGGUUGAAAGCUUUGAUAUGUUUAGAACCCAAACCUCUUGAAUUUUCAUCUCUGCUGACUGAGUCCCAACUUAUCCAAUAUAUUUUUCUCUCAUUCUAUUUUUGUCUCCACCAAAACUACAUCAUCAUUUUAUGAAUUUCAUCUAAAAGAGUAUUUGGAAGCUUAAAACAGCUAAGCGAGUAAAUCGGUAUUUUUGUGCCAAUCGCCUUUAUCAAAACCUCUCUUCUGCUUGCCAAAAGCAUUGUUCUUUUCUAGUGCUGCAACUUCUUUCCAACCUUAUCUUUAACAAAUGAAAAGAUUUCUCUUUUGGUUCUAUUAAUAACUAAUGGAAGACCCAAAUAACGGUCUUGAGCACCAAUAUUAGGAACCCCAAUCAAAGUAGCUAGUUCUGUUUAGGUUGUUUGAGGCAUAUUCUUGUUGAAAAAAUGGCUGAUUUGUUUAAAUUAACAAGCUGAUUGCUCAACUUGCUAUACUACUGUAGGAUACCUAGGAUCUUGUCACAUGAUUGCCUUUUAGCUCUUCCAAAAAAUAUAGAAUCGUCUGCGAAUAAUAGGUGGUUAAUGGAGGGGCAUUUAUUAUUAAACCGGAGUCUCUGUAGUAGGUUAUUCUGUUCUCCUUUGUAGAGCAGAAAGAACAGUCCCUCUGCACAAAUAAAAAAAGAUAGGGAGAGAGGAGAUCCUCUUGACGGAGCCCUCUGCUUGGCCUAAAGAAGCCAGUAGGAAUUCCUUCCACAACAAUAGAUUAAGAGAUUGUAGACACACACUCUUUGAUCUAUCCAAUCUACUUAUCAGAGAAGCCCAAUUUCUCCAUCAUAAACCAAAGAAAACUCCAUUCAACUCUAUCAUAGGCCUUGCUCAUGUCAAUUUUAAGUUCCAUAUCAUGAUUAUCAUACUCCUUAUUCCUCAAAAAACACAUAACAUUCAUGAGCCACUAAGAUAUUUUCACUAAUGAGUCUUCCUCAGAUAAAAGCACUUUGGUUGUCAUUAAUAAUUUUAUUCAUAAGAGGUUGCAGUCUAUGAACAAGUACCUUAGAGAUGAUUUGGUAAAACAUAGUGCUAAGACAGCCAAAUUUGAUUCAUUGCAAUUGCAUUUUGUAUUUUUGGAAUGAGACAAAUUUGAGUGAGAUUGAAACCCCUAAGCAUGCGCCCUCCUCAAAAAAAGCUUCUAACAGCUUUGCAUACAUCCUGCUUGAUAGUAUUUCAAUAAAAUUGGAAGAAUUUGGAUAUAAAGCCAUCAUUACCUGGGACUGCUUCUGGAAUAAUAGAAUAGACUGCCCUUUUAAUUUCUUCUUUGGUAGUUGCCUUGUUAGUCAUCUAUUUAUUUCUUCAUAAAUCUUUCUUCUAAGUUGAUAUUUUUUAAAGUAAGAUUUUGAACAUUAGUAUUGGUUUAACAUCAAAUUAGGUUAUUUUAUGUUGUGAUUAUAGUCCUAAUUAUAAAAAUUCACUAUAAUAAUGAUGUCUUUGAUCUAUGUUUAUUGAUUACAAAGUAUAAGGGCAGAUGGAUUGAAUUUAUGAGGGACAUAUAAGAAUUCGUUUCAACCUUAUUUUCCAUGUAAUAAAAGGAAAAGGAUGGUGAAUUUUGGACAGAAAAAAGUAUAAAUAACCCAUUAGAGGUGUAACCAACUGCAAUCAACUAAUGAAAAAUUUGGUUUUAAUUUUUUUUAUUUAAUUUUAGUUAUUUUUUUAGAUUUUGAAUAUUUCUUUUGGAUUGGUUUUAGAUGUUUCUCAUAAAAUUUGAAAUCAUAUUAUCUCUAAAAGAAAAGGUACUAAUUGGCUGCAGUUAACUGUAGGGGUGUUCAAAUUUAAACUAAUCCAAAUUAAACCGUUCAUCCAAUCCAAUCUAAACCAAAAACCGAUUAAAACCACACUCAUUCAGAUUUGAUUGGAUUCUAUUUUUUUUUACAAACCACUGAAUCAGAUCAAAUUUCGGAUCUACUUUUCAUAACCGAUGUAAUUCAAUUCAAACUGCACAAUGUGCUAUAAUAUUAUUAUUUUAUUAUUAUAUUUACAAUUAUACUUAUAACAUGUUUAAUUUAUUAUACAUUUUUAUAUUAUUCAUGUAUUAUUAUUUAAUAAAUAUUUUAUGUUCAAAAUAUUAUUUAUUUAUUUAUUUUAACUAACCUAUAAUUUUAUUUCUAUUGUUAUGUUAUCGUUGGCUUUUUAAGAUAUUGUUGAUACUUAUUAUGUCAUUGUUGAUUAUUUAAAAUUUGAUGUUGAGACUUGUUAUAUGUAUUUAAUUUUUUUUAAUUUACAACUGUAAAUCCAAUCCAAUCCAAAUCACUUUGGAUCGGAUCGGAGCUCUCCACGGAGCUCCUCGGUUGCCUCUUCUUUCGGCCAUACCCACGUUCGAAACUGGCACCUCUUCAUGCUCCUUCAUGAUUCGCAUCUCCUCUUCGCGGUCCCAAGGAAACACCGUUGCUGUGAGUGGUGGUGGCUUGGCCACAAUCAGAGAAAUGCGAUGGAAGCCUUUGCCACGAGUUCAAGGAUCUCCGGUGCCAGUCGCUUUUGCCACUACGUGAGAGUUCGUUUCUAAAUCUAGAGAUCCAUGCUCUUCUUGCUUCUCCUUCAUGGAGGCACCGACCUUGGUGCCACUACUGCUCUUGAUGGGCCUCAACGAGAUUGAUGUUGUGAAGAUUGGGAGUGCAUCCUUCUGAGCUCGGUCGUUGGCCCCUUGCUUGAUUGAGAACGGAUCUGUCUCCAUGCCAUGGUAUAUGCCUCCAUCUGCUAUGUUAUGAUAUUCUAUUUCUUCUUGAUAUGAAUCCAGAAUCUCUAUCAAUAGUGUUGCUAGAGUUGACACUUGCAGUGUUAGAUCUUGAUCUGUUGUGGUUGUUGAAUAUGUUGCUGA